GGGUUGUGAGGUUAAGCGACUAAGCGUACACGGUGGAUGCCCUGGCAGUCAGAGGCGAUGAAGGACGUGCUAAUCUGCGAUAAGCGUCGGUAAGGUGAUAUGAACCGUUAUAACCGGCGAUUUCCGAAUGGGGAAACCCAGUGUGUUUCGACACACUAUCAUUAACUGAAUCCAUAGGUUAAUGAGGCGAACCGGGGGAACUGAAACAUCUAAGUACCCCGAGGAAAAGAAAUCAACCGAGAUUCCCCCAGUAGCGGCGAGCGAACGGGGAGGAGCCCAGAGCCUGAAUCAGUGUGUGUGUUAGUGGAAGCGUCUGGAAAGGCGCGCGAUACAGGGUGACAGCCCCGUACACAAAAAUGCACAUGCUGUGAGCUCGAUGAGUAGGGCGGGACACGUGGUAUCCUGUCUGAAUAUGGGGGGACCAUCCUCCAAGGCUAAAUACUCCUGACUGACCGAUAGUGAACCAGUACCGUGAGGGAAAGGCGAAAAGAACCCCGGCGAGGGGAGUGAAAAAGAACCUGAAACCGUGUACGUACAAGCAGUGGGAGCACGCUUAGGCGUGUGACUGCGUACCUUUUGUAUAAUGGGUCAGCGACUUAUAUUCUGUAGCAAGGUUAACCGAAUAGGGGAGCCGAAGGGAAACCGAGUCUUAACUGGGCGUUAAGUUGCAGGGUAUAGACCCGAAACCCGGUGAUCUAGCCAUGGGCAGGUUGAAGGUUGGGUAACACUAACUGGAGGACCGAACCGACUAAUGUUGAAAAAUUAGCGGAUGACUUGUGGCUGGGGGUGAAAGGCCAAUCAAACCGGGAGAUAGCUGGUUCUCCCCGAAAGCUAUUUAGGUAGCGCCUCGUGAAUUCAUCUCCGGGGGUAGAGCACUGUUUCGGCAAGGGGGUCAUCCCGACUUACCAACCCGAUGCAAACUGCGAAUACCGGAGAAUGUUAUCACGGGAGACACACGGCGGGUGCUAACGUCCGUCGUGAAGAGGGAAACAACCCAGACCGCCAGCUAAGGUCCCAAAGUCAUGGUUAAGUGGGAAACGAUGUGGGAAGGCCCAGACAGCCAGGAUGUUGGCUUAGAAGCAGCCAUCAUUUAAAGAAAGCGUAAUAGCUCACUGGUCGAGUCGGCCUGCGCGGAAGAUGUAACGGGGCUAAACCAUG
rnacentral:rRNA from 1 species